AACGCACAUUGCGCCCUUUGGCAUUCCGAAGGGCAUGCCUGUUCGAGCGUCAUUAUCAAAUCUCAAGCUUUGCUUGGUAUUGGGCUUUCGUGUCUCCCUUGUUUGUACAUGUAGGUAGAGACGUGCCCGAAAAUCAGUCGCAGUGCCUCAAUAGACUCAAGCGUAGCAGACUGACUCGCUUUGGAGAACUGUUGUAGGUCCUGUUAAUAAAAUAACAAGAUCUGAAAUCAGGUAGGACUACCCGCUGAACUUAA
rnacentral:misc_RNA from 1 species